rnacentral:lncRNA from 1 species
GCCGCCCGCAGGCUCGGGCCGCGGGGCGGCUGUUGGGGAAGCAGAAGCCCGUGGGGCGGAGGCCGGAGAGGGGACAUGGGUGUGUUUUUCCUGAGUGUCUUCCGCACCCUCGCCCCGAUGAAGGAGGCGGCGGGUGCCGGGAGGUGUUUCCGCAAGGCUCGGGGGGCUGUGCGGCGUGCGGUGCUCGGCCCGCCCUCGGGGGUUCCCUCGCCCUAGUGUGUGCUGGUUACAUACCUGUGUUGUACUUGACCUCUGAGCCGUUUCGGGUCCCCACCACCACCACUCACUCACACAUUUGAUUUCCGAUUUUCGGGGAGGUUAGUAGGUGUGACCUUGGCAGGAUGCAGUGACUAGGUUCAGAGAGCAGCUUUUUAAAAUUGGGAGUGUUCAAAGCUCAUUCUGGUACUUAAAUGCUAAAAUUGCAGGUUUCCGUUGAGAUAUUAAAGUUUUUAAAGAGUUGACUCUUUUUGUACAUUAAAAAACAAAAAACAAAACCC